CGCGGGGUGGAGCAGCUUGGUAGCUCGUCGGGCUCAUAACCAAGGUCGUCGGUUCAAAUCCGGCYCCCGCAACCA
rnacentral:tRNA from 1 species